GUGUUUCCUUCAGCAGCACAUAUACUAAAAUUGGAAUGAUAUGGAGAUUAACGUGGCCCCUGUGCAUGGAUGACAUGCAAACCCAUGAAGAGUUGCAUAUUUUU
ensembl:snRNA U6 U6 spliceosomal RNA